GAUGAACGCUGGCGGCGUGCCUAAUACAUGCAAGUCGAGCGAACAGAUGAGAAGCUUGCUCCUCUGACGUUAGCGGCGGACGGGUGAGUAACACGUGGAUAACCUACCUAUAAGACUGGGAUAACUUCGGGAAACCGGAGCUAAUACCGGAUAAUAUAUUGAACCGCAUGGUUCAAUAGUGAAAGACGGUCUUGCUGUCACUUAUAGAUGGAUCCGCGCUGCAUUAGCUAGUUGGUAAGGUAACGGCUUACCAAGGCAACGAUGCAUAGCCGACCUGAGAGGGUGAUCGGCCACACUGGAACUGAGACACGGUCCAGACUCCUACGGGAGGCAGCAGUAGGGAAUCUUCCGCAAUGGGCGAAAGCCUGACGGAGCAACGCCGCGUGAGUGAUGAAGGUCUUCGGAUCGUAAAACUCUGUUAUUAGGGAAGAACAAAUGUGUAAGUAACUAUGCACGUCUUGACGGUACCUAAUCAGAAAGCCACGGCUAACUACGUG
rnacentral:rRNA from 1 species